rnacentral:misc_RNA from 1 species
UAUUAAUUGCCAUCCAUCAGCAACAAUUACCAAAUAUUCUUAACAAGUUGAAGUGCUGAACCAAACAAACCAUUAAUACAAAUAACAAUUACCAUAGUUUUAACAGUACAUUACAACAUAAUGCACACUCCAAAAGUCAGGAUCUUAUCUCGUUGCUUGUUUAAAUGUUAUUGACUCUUCUAAAUGAACAUAUGUGCAUUUUCUGUAAGUGAAAAUACUUGCAAAUAAAAGAUCACUGGAAAAAACUAGAAACAACCUGCUUAACGAAUUUCUAUGAGAAUGAGUUACAGGCAUUGUAAAUAAUCAUAAAAAGUUGAAAUAUAAAUUGGAAUACAAGGGCAAAAUGUUCAAAGGUGUUAUUAAACUAGAUAAAAGUCAGUAAAGCACCUUCAAAUUGUUACCCCCCUCAAAAUCUUCAAGAUCAUUGGUUAGUGAACUGCAAUUACUGCAAUCAAGAUUCAAGAAAGUAGCUUUGCACGAGUAGCCGGAUCCUCUUUUGAUUCCACAUGAAUCAUGAAUGCAUAUCCCAGAGACCACAAAAGAAUGUAUUGGAAGGGGACCCAAGAUAGACAUGCAAGAAGGCUCAAAAUGCUUCCAACAUAUUGAGGAUCUUUUAUAACACCAAAUGGAAAUUCUGUCACCCAAGGAAUGUUCUCUCCAAAGCGUACACCAUAGUACGUACCUGAUUCACCAAGCAACUGGUAUACCCUGAAGUUGAGAAACUGACCAAAGCCAAAGAGGGGCCAGAAGUAGAGAGGAGGAGGCAAGGAGAAGGAAGAGACAGAAUAGAGAGAAAUGAACUGAAGCAGCUUGAGGAAAUGGGAGACAUGGGCCAUAACUUUACAUGGGUCACGCUCUUUCCCACAAAGGUUCACCCAUGACUGUGGUUUUGUCCAUAGCCAGUAGUAGUACGGAAAUGGGAGAAUGACCCCUAUUGCUGCAAAAACACCCAUUUGUUUGCUUGGACUCGCUGAGUCUUGAGUUUUCUUGGGGAAAAUCAGUCAGUCCCUAUGGCGAUGGCUAUGGCUAACGUACUUCAGAA